rnacentral:lncRNA from 1 species
GGCAGAGAUUGCAGUGAGCUGAGAUCACGCCACUGCACUCCAGCCUGGUGACAGAGCAAGACUCUGUCAAAAAAAAAAAAAAAAAAAAAAAAACCCCACACAAAACAAAAAAACACUUACUAUUCAAAGGGGGUUUUUAAAAGUAUAGUGCAUUCUUGAAAUGAAAUUCUUUUAAACCAAGAGAAUAUAGUUACAGAAAAAAAUUUCUUUCAUUUAUAUGAAUUAGUUUCAAGUAAAAUAUAACAACUCAAAAAUAGAAUCAUUCAUUAGUUUCCUCUUCCAUUGAUGAAAUACUUACACUACAAAUUUGGCCUGACAGUUGCCUUAGCUCGAGAUAAUAAAAUCCAUGUUAUGUUCCAGUAGCAAUCAUUGCAUGGGGGCUUUUGAAUUUAACUGUGUUUCUAGACACUGAUUCUCUGCCUAAUGUUCCAGUCAGUAAUAUUUUUCGUUAAAUAGACAUGGUACAACAGUUCCAUCAGCACGAUCUGCACACAGUGGCACUUUAUUCUACCCUACUAAAAAGAUGUAAUGAGCCAGGUGUGGUGGCUCAUGCCUGUAAUCCCAGCACUUUGGGAGGCCGAGGCGGGGGAUCACUUGAGGUCAGGAGUUUGAGACCAG